rnacentral:rRNA from 1 species
UGGGGAAUAUUGCACAAUGGGCGCAAGCCUGAUGCAGCCAUGCCGCGUGUAUGAAGAAGGCCUUCGGGUUUUAAAGUACUUUCAGCGGGGAGGAAGGGAGUAAAGUUAAUACCUUUGCUCAUUGACGUUACCCGCAGAAGAAGCACCGGCUAACUCCGUGCCAGCAGCCGCGGUAAUACGGAGGGUGCAAGCUUUAAUCGGAAUUACUGGGCGUAAAGCGCACGCAGGCGGUUUGUUAAGUCAGAUGUGAAAUCCCCGGGCUCAACCUGGGAACUGCAUCUGAUACUGGCAAGCGUGAGUCUCGUAGAGGGGGGUAGAAAUCCAGGUGUAGCGGUGAAAUGCGUAGAGGUCUGGAGGAAUACCGGUGGCGAAGGCGGCCCCCUGGACGAAGACUGACGCUCAGGUGCGAAAGCGUGGGGAGCAAACAGG